GAUUAGAACUAAGCCCAACAAAUCAGCAUCCGACAGAUGAAGGUUCUCAGAUUUUGAGGCAGUACUUGAGGCAGUACUGCAAUCCAGUGAAUUACAAGCUACACAUGAAAAUAAUGAAGCAUUUGUAAAUUAAUCUAAAUUCUAAAAGUAAAAAUAUUUAUUCGAUAAAUUAAUCUAUGUGCUGUAUAAAUUUGUUUUACUACUUAUUUACAUUUUUCUCAAUUUCAAUAUUUUCUUUCAACAAUGACAGAAACCAAACAAUGCCUUCAUCACAAUGCCUCCAUGACAAAUACUGUAACCUCUACAGGUGCACCCCUCACUGCACUAACAAAAGUGUUUUAAACCAAAGAAAAAUAUAUCAGAAUGAGAAAAGGGACAACAUAAAUCACUGACAAAAAUUCAAACAAAUUCAAUUUUGUACACAAAAACAUUUAGAAAUGAUGAAUACAUGAAAUGUAAUCUCCACUUAAAAAUGGUCUAAAAUCACCACAAUUUAAUUUUCUUCUAUGCAUAAUGAAUAAUAAAGGAUGGGACACUGUUCUUCCACUUUAUUUUCCACUGCAUUUUAAUACAACUGCAAUUUGAUAACACAAAAUUGCAAAAAGUGCAUGUUAUUCUAGUUCAAAUGAAUACAAGGGUACACAACAACAAGAAUCCGGCUUUUAGUGUUCUCAUUCCAGAAUGUAAAAAAAAUAACUAAAUGGCAACAACAACAACCAGAUGAGUCAUCAAUCUUAUAUUAGCCUCAGCCAUGCUAUCAAUGGAUACAGAGCCUUCUGGACACAGACAAACACACACACACACACACACACACACACACACACACACACACACACACACACAUUUUGCAGGCAUCAUACAACAGAAAUAGCCACACUCUCGUGUCUGCACCGUGGUCUAAUGUUGUUAUAGUGCACCACAGCUUAUGUCAGUCUCCAUGCAGCAGGUCCAACACCAGCCAUGUGCUCAGCCGUGUCAUUCUAGCCCUAAUGACAAUAUAAAUACUCAUCUCCCAGGGGAACAUUUCACAACCUGCUCAUCGAAAUAGCUCAACAAGGGAAACACAGAUGAUAUCUGGUACUAUAACGACUGGUUUUGCUGUCCUUCGAUGCACAAAUGGUAUUUUCCAUUGACUCCUCUGAUGACCCGCUUUUGGUUGCAUUGUCCUCUAAACAUGUCUCCUCCAGUGCAGCCUUGAACUCCUCAUUUGGGAAAUCACUAAGGUUAGG